rnacentral:misc_RNA from 1 species
CCGAGUUUACAACUCCCAAACCCCCUGUGAACAUACCACUCGUUGCCUCGGCGGAUCAGCCCGCUCCCCGGUAAAAACGGGACGGCCCGCCAGAGGACCCCUAAACUCUGUUUCUAUAUGUAACUUCUGAGUAAAACCAUAAAUAAAUCA